GUGGGUAGUGCUCAGUGGUAGAGCGUGUGUUUAGUAUGCAUGAGGUCCUGGGUUCAAUCCCCAGUACCUCCA
rnacentral:tRNA from 1 species